UUGGAGGGCAAGUCUGGUGCCAGCAGCCGCGGUAAUUCCAGCCCCAAUAGCGUAUAUUAAAGUUGUUGCAGUUAAAAAGCUCGUAGUUGAAUUUCGGGGUUUAUCCGUCGGUCGGGCUUUUGGGUCUGUACUGGCGUGAUGGAUUCCUACCUUCUGAAUAACCGGCAUGUCAUUAAUUUGGUGCGCCGGGGAAGCAGGACUGUUACCUUGAAAAAAUUAGAGUGCUUAAAGCAGGCUUAUGCCUGAAUACAUUAGCAUGGAAUAAUGAAAUAGGACGGCAUGGUUCUAUUUUGUUGGUUUCUAGGAUCACCGUAAUGAUUAAUAGGGAUAGUUGGGGGCAUUAGUAUUCAAUUGUCAGAGGUGAAAUUCUUGGAUUUAUUGAAGACUAACUUCUGCGAAAGCAUUUGCCAAGGAUGUUUUCAUUAAUCAAGAACGAAAGUUAGGGGAUCGAAGACGAUCAGAUACCGUCGUAGUCUUAACCAUAAACUAUGCCGACUAGGGAUCGGACGAUGUUAAUUUUUUAAUGACUCGUUCGGCGCCUUACGGGAAAC
rnacentral:rRNA from 1 species